UACAGAGGUGGCAAGCGUUGUUCGGAAUUACUGGGCGUAAAGGGCGCGUAGGCGGUUCGUUAAGUCCUGUGUGAAAUCCCCCGGCUCAACUGGGGAACUGCACAGGAAACUAGCGGGCUUGAGUUCGGGAGAGGGAAGCGGAAUUCCGGGUGUAGCGGUGAAAUGCGUAGAUAUCCGGAGGAACACCGGUGGCGAAGGCGGCUUCCUGGACCG
rnacentral:rRNA from 1 species